CCAAACUCCUGGAGAUAUUUCGGAGGAAGGGCGGGACUGCAGGGACCAAAAUAAAACCAAUGUUGGACUCACUGAAUGAGCAUCAUGUCGAUGGCAGAAGGGACAUUAUCAUCCGUUGCUUAGUUGAGUACCUUGGAGAGAGUGGAGAGGAGCUGAUCAAAGACUAUCAGGACGUCAGCCAAGAAGCAGUGAAAGAGGACUGCAGUAAUCACAUGAUGAAGAUCACCGUCAUCCAUCCCAACGUGGCACAGGAAAACCAAGAUCCCGUGUAAGUGUCAGUCAUCAUUGAGGGGACAGAAGUUCUGGAGGACUGCGGAAGUGUGUCAAACGCUUGCCUCCUACUCAUGGGUGUCAUCUAUGCUGUCAACUUAAGUUACCCACUGAAACUGAAAUAUACGUUUGAAGUAUUUCAGAAGCUGUUUCUUGAGCUUGACAUCCUUAAAAUGUCAGCAAAGGUCCAGUCUCUCCACAAGAAACUUUUAGCAUGAGUGUUUAAGUGUUAUUUGUGCUUUUGUCCAGC